GUCAAGCGAAUAAGCGUAUAUGGUGGAUGCCUUGGCAGUUAGAGGCGAUGAAGGACGUGUAAGUCUGCGAAAAGCUGUGGUGAGCUGACAAAAAGCAUUUGAGCCACAGAUGUCCGAAUGGGGAAACCCACCGCUUCGGCGGUAUCGUUAGGUGAAUACAUAGCCUAACGAAGCAAACGAGGGGAACUGAAACAUCUAAGUACCCUGAGGAAAAGAAAUCAACCGAGAUUCCCAAAGUAGCGGCGAGCGAAAUGGGAUUAGCCCUUAAGUUACAGUGGAUUUAGCAGAACGCUCUGGAAAGUGCGGCGAUAGAGGGUGAUAGCCCCGUAUGCGAAAGGUCCAUUGUAGUGAAAACGAGUAGGUCGGGACACGUGAAAUCCUGAUUGAAUAUGGGGGGACCAUCCUCCAAGGCUAAAUACUCCUAGCUGACCGAUAGUGAACUAGUACCGUGAGGGAAAGGUG
rnacentral:rRNA from 1 species